AACGUUGACAGUACGAUGCGCAUAGGGAAGAUGUGCUGGAAGCUGGAUGGCAGUACCAGAUGUUUGGGUGGCUGCUCAUCAGUGAUCCUCAUCGGUGUAUAGGUAUUGUUUCUAUUGUGUCAAGUGCCUGUGUACUCCCAGCUGGUUACGCCAGAAAUGAUGUGCGAGAUGGAAUGUCUUAGAGAGAGUGGCAGUUUGUCAGCUGUCACCUAUGACAGCACUGUGGCUGCAAGAUGCCGUAACUACUGCAGGGAGCAUGCUUAUGACUUCCUCUUUAGCCUUAUGUCUUCGCUAACACCACCUGACAAAUAGCUCAUGGCUUCUUUGACCAUAGCACUUUGCUGCCAACACUGAUGACACCCGUCAAAUACACAGCCUUUCAACUUUCAUAUGCUAGUUUGGUGGCAAAAGCUAGUAGAUAAAUGGCUAGUUUUCAUGCUGGCAUUUAUGACACAUUCUGGUUUGAAACAUAAUAAUGAAUAAAGACAAUGUAUGUUUACACAUGA
rnacentral:lncRNA from 1 species